AUAUUUCAUAUUAUAUAUUUCAUAUUUUCUCUAUUUCUAUUUUAUAUUUUCUUUUCCCUAUUUUCUUCCCUAUUUUCCAUUUUCUUUCCUAUUUUCCAUUUUCUUUAUUUUAUUUUUCUCAUUCCCAUGAAUUAUCAUGAUCACAGUGGAAUUCUGUUUGCUGCUUCCAAGGAAAACAUUCUCUCAUGCCUUCUGAGAAAGUAUUUCAGACAAUCUGCAUUUUAUUUUUCAUCUGUAUUUCCUCCUGAAAUCCCACCCUCUAGAAAUUAGAGGAUAGAAUUUUCUAUUUUCUAUCUUCUCUAUUUCUAUUUUCUAUUUCCUAUUUUCUCUAUUUUUAUUUCCUAUUUUCUAUUUUCUCUUUUUCUAUUUCCUAUUUUUUUUUCUUUCCUACUUCCCCAUUGUUUAUUUUAUUUUUGUCAUUCCCAUGCAUUAUCAUCACAGUCAAAUUCUGUUGGUUGCUUCCAAGCAAACCAAGGAAAACAUUCUCUCACUCUCCUCAUACCUUCUGAGAAGGUAUUUCAGACUAUCUACAUUUUAUUUUUCAUUUGUAUUUCCUCCUGAAAUCCUACCCUCUAGAAAUUAGAGGAUAGAAUUUUCUCUAUUUCUAUUUCAUAUUUCCUAUUUUCUGUAUUUCCUAUUUUCUCUAUUUCCUAUUUUCCCUUUUAUUAAUUUUAUUUUCCUCAUUCCCAUCCAUUAUCAUCACAGUGGAAUUCUGUUGGCUGCCUCCAAGGAAAGGAAGGAAAACAUUCUCUCACUCCAAUAUCUUCCGAGAAGCUCAACUGCAGGAAAGACAUUCUGUGCUGUUCUGGUGAGCCAGCAAAGGCCUCCGGAUGAUAAGGAAAGCCCCGUAUCUCUCCUGAGGAAGACACCAAGGUUGUCACCAUGGAGAUGUGAUGAAGGAGGGAAAGUUGGAAGAUACAGACUCUAACUGGCUCAUAGAAUGAUGGGGCUCCUUGGUCACCCACUGAGAACUUUUUUGUAACCAAUGGGCAGUGAAUGUGUACGUUGAGUGAAUAUAAAUAUCUUGAAAAAGUAUAAAAGCAUCAUGUUGCUGUAAUAAAUCUCUCUUGCACCCUUCUGAUGGAGUCGUG
rnacentral:lncRNA from 1 species